AUCGAGAGAGUCAAAUUGACUUGGUUUACUACGAAUACAUUGAAAACUUUAUGCUCACCAAGGAUCAUGUUGAGGGGAGCACAUUGUUUGCAGUCGAUGAUGUGCUGGACUGCACUACACCACAUCGACAACUAUUAAAAAACAAAACAAAAAAUAAUGGAGAACGCAAGCAUACCUCCAGGACUCUAAGAUUUGAAUCAACGCAACUGCCUCGUAUCAUAUGAAAUAUCGAAGUUAGGGAGUGCCGGUGCUCUGUGGAUCUCUUACAUGACUACCUGUAAGU
rnacentral:lncRNA from 1 species